rnacentral:rRNA from 1 species
AUUGAACGCUGGCGGAAUGCUUUACACAUGCAAGUCGAACGGCAGCACGGCCUUCGGUCUGGUGGCGAGUGGCGAACGGGUGAGUAAUGUAUCGGAACGUGCCCAGUCGUGGGGGAUAACGUAGUGAAAAUUACGCUAAUACCGCAUACGAUCUAUGGAUGACAGCGGGGGAUCGCAAGACCUCGCGCGAUUGGAGCGGCCGAUAUCAGAUUAGGUAGUUGGUGGGGUAAAGGCUCACCAAGCCAACGAUCUGUAGCUGGUCUGAGAGGACGACCAGCCACACUGGAACUGAGACACGGUCCAGACUCGUACGGGAGGCAGCAGUGGGGAAUUUUGGACAAUGGGCGAAAGCCUGAUCCAGCCAUUCCGCGUGCAGGAUGAAGGCCCUCGGGUUGUAAACUGCUUUUGUACAGAACGAAAAGGUUUCUACUAAUACUAGGAGCUCAUGACGGUACUGUAAGAAUAAGCACCGGCUAACUACGUGCCAGCCGCCGCAGUAA